UAUAGCUGACUCGUCCCCAGUCGCUUACCUAACGCGCGUUGAAUGACCCAACGCGCGCUGAUUGAUGGGAAUGUGACGGCGAGGGAAGCGACUGGGAAAUCCUAAUUCAAGAUGGCGGACGUUAUAAUGGCGGACGCUGUUUAUCGAAGAGCGAGAAAGGGACGAAAUAUUUUCAAGGCCGUUUCACGAGGCGUAUCUGACGAAUAAAGUUGUUUGUCUGAUGGCUGAAUGCCUGGAAAACUUUCGUUUUUUAAAGAAAGUGGACUUGCGCAUCAUUUCCGCACUGUUCACAACCGACAGCUGGUGCCGCAAGAUACGAAGAAUUCAGCUUUGGCCAUGAAACGUAUGUUUGGCGAAGAAACUUUAAGAUUUAUUAAAUAUAUCUCUUUUUGAAUUGACCACUCUCCUCUGUAGAGGCUUUGUGUUUUGUUUUGGAUUUUUUCAAGUCCCACGCUCUGCCUCUCAACUAUUCUGCCUGCAAACUUCGAAAAAACCCAAAUUAAAACACAAAGCCUCUACAGAAGAAAGUGUAAAUCGACCGUAAUGUUGGG